rnacentral:rRNA from 1 species
GAUGAACGCUGGCGGCGUGCCUAAUACAUGCAAGUCGAGCGAACAGACGAGGAGCUUGCUCCUCUGACGUUAGCGGCGGACGGGUGAGUAACACGUGGAUAACCUACCUAUAAGACUGGGAUAACUUCGGGAAACCGGAGCUAAUACCGGAUAAUAUAUUGAACCGCAUGGUUCAAUAGUGAAAGACGGUUUUGCUGUCACUUAUAGAUGGAUCCGCGCCGCAUUAGCUAGUUGGUAAGGUAACGGCUUACCAAGGCGACGAUGCGUAGCCGACCUGAGAGGGUGAUCGGCCACACUGGAACUGAGACACGGUCCAGAUUCCUACGGGAGGCAGCAGUAGGGAAUCUUCCGCAAUGGGCGAAAGCCUGACGGAGCAACGCCGCGUGAGUGAUGAAGGUCUUCGGAUCGUAAAACUCUGUUAUUAGGGAAGAACAAAUGUGUAAGUAACUAUGCACGUCUUGACGGUACCUAAUCAGAAAGCCACGGCUAACUACGUG